UCCGAGUUGACCCCGGCAGUCUCCUAUGAGUCCCCACCAUAACGUGCUGGCAACAUAGGACGAGGGUUGCGCUCGUUGCGGGACUUAACCCAACAUCUCACGACACGAGCUGACGACAACCAUGCACCACCUGUCACUUUGUCCCCCGAAGGGGAAAUCCCUAUCUCUAGGGUGGUCAAAGGAUGUCAAGACCUGGUAAGGUUCUUCGCGUUGCUUCGAAUUAAACCACAUGCUCCACUGCUUGUGCGGGCCCCCGUCAAUUCCUUUGAGUUUCAUUCUUGCGAACGUACUCCCCAGGUGGCAUGCUUACUGCGUUAACUGCGACACUGCCCCCGAAGGGACAACAUCUAGCAUGCAUCGUUUACAGCGUGGACUAC
rnacentral:misc_RNA from 1 species